rnacentral:rRNA from 1 species
GAUGAACGCUGGCGGCGUGCCUAAUACAUGCAAGUCGAGCGAACAGAUGAGGAGCUUGCUCCUCUGACGUUAGCGGCGGACGGGUGAGUAACACGUGGAUAACCUACCUAUAAGACUGGGAUAACUUCGGGAAACCGGAGCUAAUACCGGAUAAUAUAUUGAACCGCAUGGUUCAAUAGUGAAAGACGGUUUUGCUGUCACUUAUAGAUGGAUCCGCGCCGCAUUAGCUAGUUGGUAAGGUAACGGCUUACCAAGGCAACGAUGCGUAGCCGACCUGAGAGGGUGAUCGGCCACACUGGAACUGUGACACCGUCCAGACUCCUACGGGAGGCAGCAGUAGGGAAUCUUCCGCAAUGCGCGAAAGCCUGACGGAGCAACGCCGCGUGAGUGAUGAAGGUCUUCGGAUCGUAAAUCUCUGUUAUUAGGGAAGAACAAAUGUGUAAGUAACUAUGCACGUCUUGACGGUCCCUAAUCAGAAAGCCACGGCUAACUACGUG